GACGAACGCUGGCGGCGUGCUUAACACAUGCAAGUCGAACGGUAAGGCCCUUCGGGGUACACGAGUGGCGAACGGGUGAGUAACACGUGGGUGAUCUGCCCUGCACUUCGGGAUAAGCCUGGGAAAUGGGGUCUAUUACCGGAUAGGACGAAUGCCUGCAUGGGUGGGGGUGGAAAGCUUUCGCGGUGUGGGAGUGGCCCGCGGCCUAUCAGCUUGUUGGUGGGGUGAUGGCCUACCAAGGCGACGACGGGUAGCCGGCCUGAGAGGGUGACCGGCCACACUGGGACUGAGAUACGGCCCAGACUCCUACGGUAUGCAGCAGUGGGGAAUAUUGCACAAUGGGCGCAAGCCUGAUGCAGCGACGCCGCGUGAGGGAUGACGGCCUUCGGGUUGUAAACCUCUUUCAGCACCGACGAAGCGCAAGUGACGGUAGGUGCAGAAGAAGGACCGGCCAACUACGUGCCAGCAGCCGCGGUAA
rnacentral:rRNA from 1 species